rnacentral:sRNA from 1 species
AUGCAGUGCUCAGCAGUCAAACAGCGGGCUUUUCAUCGUCUGAGACUCACAUGCCGCCUCCUACAUAGAGGUCCUGAUGCCCGUGUACAAGGUCUUCCCCGUCUGUUACAGUCAGGACGUGGCCACGAACUCUAUCAAUCAUGCCAGGCCCCGCCCACUUGUUCACUGAAGGAGGCUGGACUAUGUUACGCUUCUUUACUGAACAAGAUGACUUGCAGUGAUCAAGAGGCCAAUAGCAUCAGAAGCUGUGCCACCAGCCAUCUCCGCGGCUGUAACCUGAUUCAGCUUGAGAUAUUCGACUCUCAGUUAUGGCUGGGCCGACAACGUAUGCCCUCUUGUAAGGCCUAUACCUUAGACAGCUCUCUCUACCCUCUCUCCAUGACCGCCGAGGCUCAGGGCUUCAACCAGUGUAAGGACACUUUCCUCCAGAAUAUCACCUCUGCCCUGGAAACUGGCAGUAACAAUGUUGAGAAAGUCUGCUAUAGGGUGCUGAUGAUGUAUGAGUGUCUGAUGUACAACCAGCCACAGGAUGCCCGGGAUUUCCUGACCGCGAUGUAUGGAAACUCCUUCCUCGUAACCAGUACCCUCACCCAGCAGAUCUGUAUGGAGGUGUAUCAAGGAAAGGUCCCCCCUGAGCAAUAUUCUAGUGCUGACUCCUCCUGCGACACUGUGGCAGCGGCUCAGUGUUUGGCCACUUACUCCGUACCAGUCAUGUUCUCUGCCAGCCUGAACAGAGACGACAAGACAGCGUUCUGCUCUGACGGGGCCUUCCAAACAUGUUUGUCUGUGGUGAAAUCCACCCUGGCUGGAUGUACUCAUGCAGAAACGGAGCAGCUGAGUGCUUACCAUAGCUAUCUUGAGACCAUCAGGGAGUUCUCUGGAGUGUGCGAGGGCCACUUCGCCGCUUGUGUUCCAAUGGACGCAUGACUUGCAGCAUGGAAACAUCCGA